UUUUUUAUAGAUUGACUUUUUAUAUGUGUCAAUAAUAUAUUCUUUAAAUACCAUUUUGAUACCCGCCUCAUUGAUGUGGAUGCCGGAAGAUCCACAUAUAGGCUAUAAUAUAUGUAGGCCUAACAGUAACAGGCAUUGCCUGAAGUAGAGCGGCUCUGAUGAUGUGUUUAAGGUCAUGAGACGAAAUAUCCUAUUGAUUUUUAGCGAUUUCGGAUAAUUUUUGAAAGAGUUAUGGCCCUUGAUCACUUUGAAAAAUCUUGUGGACGCUCUAGAGGCUAAAGUUAAUAUCCGAUUGACUUUAAAUUUAUACACAGUCAUGUUUAAGGGCAUGAGACAAAUCUAAGCUUAUUGAUUUUCAGCAAUUUCUAAUAAUUAUGGCCAGAGUUAUGGCCCUUGAUCACAUUGAAAAAUCUUGUAGACGCUCUAGAGGUUAAAGUUAAUAUCUGAUUGACUUUAAAUUUAUACACAGUGUUUAAGGUCAUGAGAUGAAGCAGCCUAUUGAUUUUCAGCGAUUUCUGAUAAUUACUGCCAAAGUUAUGGCCCUUGAUCACUUUGAAAAAUCUUGUGGACGCUCUAGAGGCUAAAGUUAAUAUCCGAUUGACUUUAAAUUUAUGCACAGUGUUCGAGGAUAUGGGAUGAAGAAUCAUAUUGAUUUUCAACGAUUUAUUACAAUUACUGCCAAAGUUAUGGCUCGUGAUCACUUUGAAAAAUCUUGUGACACUCCAGAGGCUGAAGUUAUCAUCCGAUUGACUUCAGAUUGAUACACAGAGUUUAAAAGGUCUUGAGAUGAACAAGUAUAUUGAUUUUUUAAUGAAUCUUUAUGACUUGAACAACUAAAUCCAUGAUGUUAAAAGUUUUGGAUACAAAACAUUAGCAUGGGGCAGAACUUUAUAAAAACCAAACAAAUUCUAAUGGUUUUCUGAUAAUUACUUAAUGAGUUGUUACUGUUAAUCAGAUUUUAAUGUACAUUAUAGAUGUUUCAUUACCGAAAAGAGUAAAAAUAUGCGACAACUCUUGUUGACUGCCCUGACGAUAUAGCGGCUGUGUGCUUAGUUUCGUUGCGUGGCAACCUAUCUUCCGAAUUGAUUUUAAUUUAGAUCUAAAUUGUAUGAUUAAUUAAUUUUGUUUUAAAAAAAAAGAACAAAACAGUGUAACUGUGAGAAUUAUUUUCAUUGAUGUCAAAAAUAUGUGACGUCAUUGAUUAGACGUGUCAUAGAAAUAUUUCUAUAAGAUGCGUAAUCUCGUUUGGGUGAGAUUUGGUAAAUUUACAUGCUCGUUACCAGUUUUGCCCAGUCCGGUUCCGGUCUGAAUUUUUUUUUAACCGACAGUCUGUUGGUGACAGUUUUAGUUACGCUCCAGUGUUACUGGAAAAGAGAUUUGCUCAAGCACUGGGCUGUGGAGCUUCGCUCUUUAUCAAUGUCAGUAUCAAAGUACAGCCACAAAGUACAGACACAAAUAAAUCGGCAUUUAUAUUCCCAGGGUACGAUCCUACCCACAACCCAGCUUUUGAUAUUCUCCAGUCAGAUUUGGAGUCAGAUCAACUGGAAACAACCAUUUAACUAAAUGGCCUGAGUCAUGUAAAAUAAAAGCAUGAGUAAAAAGGUUCUUUCAAAGAUUACAACCGAUGGAAGUCAGCAGUUUUUUCUGUUAACGACGAUACCAGUGGAUAAAGAAGAUGGUUUUAACUUGUUACUAACGGAUGGACAAUCAACAUGGACAGGAACUUUUUCAGCUGAUAAUAUGGACAAACAGCGUAAAAGGUUAAAAAUGGAUUUUACCUCGUAUUUUAAUCAAACUGAAAAAGCCUUCAUCAAAGAUGAUAAUGAAGUGAAUUUUGAAUACAGUGUUAAAAUUAAAAAUGAUGAUACAGCUGAAUUGGUGUGGAAGAAACAUGUCACCUCAGAUGAUAUUAAGUUUCAGUUAGGAUGUAUAACUCUAAUGUUAAAAGAUGACCCAGGGACUGGUAUAUGUACGAUAUUAAAUCAUAGCGUAGUCAACAGUGAACGAGAUCAACAUCAACUUAAACAGCUAGAAACAGAUAAUAACAGACUGUCACAAGAACGGAUGAUGGCGUUAAAGAGGCUAGAAAAAUAUAUUGCUGCAAAAGAAGAAAUGGAAAAAGAUUUAUUUUCAAAGUUUGUGGCCAUAUUAAAUAGUAAAAAAGAAAAAAUAAGAAAUUUAAAAGAAAAUGGUUCAGGUGAUGAUAAUGAGAAAGAUGAUGGAACAUCAGUGUCACAGUUGAAUUCUACUCGAAAUGGUAGACAAAACAGAGAAUAACGGGUUGAAACAAAUAAAGAAGAAAGCGAUAAAGAAGAAAAUACAGAUGAGGAAGAGACGCCACCACCUGAACGUCAGAGAAAGAAUGUGGGCCGUAAAACUGGUGAUCUAGAUUCAUCGUUAGAUUUAGGGGAUGACGAGAUUACAUCAUCAUCUUCUACGAUAGUUAAAAGGUCAGCUAGAAAGAGAGGAAGUGUAAGAACAGCGACACCAAGUAAACCUAUUUUACCUAAAAUAACUAGAAAUACGUCCAAUGAGAGCUAUGAUGGUGGUCGAGGUCGGAUGAGUAAAAGUAGUUCUAAUAAUUCUAAUGUAUCUAAUAUAGAUCCUGAAGAUUUGUUCAGUGUUUUGUAGACUUAUUUAUCAGACAGAAUAGUACAUAACUGUUUGUAUCUGGUUUAUUUAUCAGACAUUUCAAUCAGUUUCUAAUGUGCUUGAUACUGAAAUUUGAGAGAACAACUGUAAUAAUAGGAGGUAGCCAUUGUUUACGAUUCAGACAUAAUGUUGUGUAUUAAUUGUAUAAUUUGUAUAUAAUACAGGCAUAAUGUUGUGUAUUAAACAUAACCUAAUAUUGUAUAUAUCACAUGAAUAUACUACUGCUAAUAUAAUAGAAUAUAUUGUAUUAACAUGUUUGUUUGUUUGUAUCUAAGACGCCAUGUUGAAUGUC